AGCCUUAAGACUAAUUUAAGGUAAAACCUGCCCAGUGCAUAUAUUUUGUAAAUGGCCGCAGUACUCUGACUGUGCUAAGGUAGCAUAAUCAGUUGGCUCUUAAAUGGAGUCGGGAAUGAAUGGAUUUAUGGGGUUAAGCUGUCUCUUUAAUAUUUUAUUGAAUUUACUUAGUAGGUGAAAAUGCCUACUUUAUGAAAAAAGACGAGAAGACCCUAGGAGUUUUAACUAUACUACUUUUUUAGUACACCGUUUUUGUUGGGGCGACAAAAGAAGAACUUAUUAACUUCUUUUACACAUAUAGGCCGACUAAGUAUGAGAAUUUAAACUACCCUA
rnacentral:rRNA from 1 species